rnacentral:rRNA from 1 species
AAAUUGAAGAGUUUGAUCAUGGCUCAGAUUGAACGCUGGCGGCAGGCCUAACACAUGCAAGUCGAACGGUAACAGGAAUCAGCUUGCUGAUUCGCUGACGAGUGGCGGACGGGUGAGUAAUGUCUGGGAAACUGCCUGAUGGAGGGGGAUAACUACUGGAAACGGUAGCUAAUACCGCAUAACGUCGCAAGACCAAAGAGGGGGACCUUCGGGCCUCUUGCCAUCGGAUGUGCCCAGAUGGGAUUAGCUAGUAGGUGGGGUAACGGCUCACCUAGGCGACGAUCCCUAGCUGGUCUGAGAGGAUGACCAGCCACACUGGAACUGAGACACGGUCCAGACUCCUACGGGAGGCAGCAGUGGGGAAUAUUGCACAAUGGGCGCAAGCCUGAUGCAGCCAUGCCGCGUGUAUGAAGAAGGCCUUCGGGUUGUAAAGUACUUUCAGCGGGGAGGAAGGGAGUAAAGUUAAUACCUUUGCUCAUUGACGUU